rnacentral:rRNA from 1 species
GACGAACGCUGGCGGCGUGCCUAAUACAUGCAAGUCGAGCGAACAGACGAGGAGUUUGUUCCCUGGACGAUAGCCGCGCACGGGAGAGACACAUGUGGAUCCUCUACCUAUAAGACUGGUAAAACUUCGGGAAAAUGGCUCAAACACCGUAUAAUAUAUUGAUGCGUAAUGAUUAUUUGAAAAUGACGGUUGUUCUGCUACCUAUUGAUGGUUCCGCGCCGUAUUUGCUGGUUGGUAAGACAACGGCCUACGAAGGCAACACUGCGUAGACGACCGGAGAGGGGGGUCGGCCACACUGGAACUGGAACACGGCCCAGACUCCUACGGGAGGCAGCAGAAGGGAAUCUUCCGCAAAGGGCGAAAGCCUGACGGAGCAAGGCCGCGUGAGUGAGGAAGGUCUUCGGAUCGUAAAACUCUGUUAUUAGGGAAGAACAAAUGUGUAAGUGAAAGUGCACGUCGUGACGGUACCUUAUCAGAAAGCCACGGCUAACUACGUG